rnacentral:rRNA from 1 species
GGUUGAUCCUGCCAGUAGUCAUAUGCUUGUCUCAAAGAUUAAGCCAUGCAUGUCUAAGUAUAAACCUUGUACCGUGAAACUGCAGAUGGCUCAUUAAAUCAGUUAUAAUUCAUUUGAGGAUGAAAUGACUACAUGGAUACCCGUAGUAAUUCUAGAGCUAAUACAUGCGCAAUGUCCCGACUCGCGAGGGAAGGGACGUAUUUAUUAGAUAAAAAACCAGCAGCCGCUGUAAAAAGGCGGCUAGAUUGGCGAGGAGUCGUAGUAACUGUUCGGAGCGUAUGGCCUUGUGCCGG